GAUUUCUGGCGAAACUGCUAGCUGGCCCGCCACGUCAGUGUGUGAGUGCCGGCUUGGCGUUUGCCAUCCGUUCGAAUGAUAUGCGCGCUGCCCUUCACUGGGUUGGUGCUGCAUGUUUUCGAUCUUUUACUUUGAAAAAAUUAGAGUGUUUCAAGCAGGCAUGUUUGCUAUGAAUACAUUAGCAUGGAAUAAUAACUUAGGACUUCGGUUCUAUUUUGUUGGUUUCUAGGACUGAAGUAAUGAUUGAUAGGGAUAGUUGGGGGUGCUAGUAUUCAGUGGCCAGAGGUGAAAUUCUCGGAUUCACUGAAGACUAACUUAUGCGAAAGCAUU
rnacentral:rRNA from 1 species